GGGUGACAAGAGCAAGACUCCAUCUCAAAAUAGAAUAAAAUAAAACCCAGAGGGGAAGAAUCUAUAAGCACACUGUAAUGAAAGUGUGAUAAAAGAUAUGCAGGGAAGCACAUCCUUGAGGUACUUCAUGAGAGUGCCUGGUAAAUCAAAUGUCUGGGAUGCUUGCCUCAGUCAAUGAGGCAAAAGAAAGUCUGGGCUGCCAAAUUAUUUACUUAAGAAGUGGUUGUAAUGUUAUUCUACCCAAUUGGAACUGUCUGCCUGUACUAGCUUAGUGCUCAAUACAGUUCAAUUCUGUUGAUCCUUUUUUUGAAAUCUCAUGCACAUUCUUCUCAUCUAAAGAUGCCCGUUACCGUCACUAAGCCAGCCUAUCAUCCAUCUCCUGCCAGUACAACCCACACCAUGUGAAUGUUACAGCACCACUUCCAUCAUGCUUCUCCUUGUGUAAGUAGCUCACCUACUGAAGCAAACCUAAACCUCCAUCGCCUUGCCUCAGCUUGCAGCUGAUGGUCUUCCACGCCAUUCCUGCAGGCAGCCUCUUCCUGGCAGUCAGGAAGGGCUUCUUGCUGAAUGGUCUGUACAGUGUUCUCCUUGGCACCCGUUUUGCUUUUACCUAUGCUAUGGUCACUGACUGUAACGUCCUUCUCCUCCUCUCCUGCUUGCCGCCAUCAAAUGUUAGUCAUUCUCGAGGUCCUCUUAGGUUCUGCCCCACCUGGCUCUUUUGGCCCACACAAUCUCUCCUCUUCUCUAAAAAGUGUUUAUAGAUUAUAGCAUGGGUUUUGCUAUGGUUGUGUGUUUUUAUGAGCAUGUGUGAAUAUGUAUGUAUCUAUAGAUAGACACUGCUGGUAAUUUCUUAGAGAAAACAGCUUCUACUUGUUUUGUUCAAAAUGUCUGAGACCAGUUGUUUUUGUUUGUUUGUUUUUAGGGGAAAAAACCCUGACAUCAAGGGGAGAGCAUGACACAGCCCCCACUACCACCAGCGAUGCAGCCGAGUGAGUUUCCCACAUUUGGGGAGAUCACGGAAAUCAGCACAUCAGAAUGCAAUGGGGAAGCUCACCCUGGGAAAAACCAUUUUCAUGAUCAUGCCAUCUCCCCUGCCAGUUUUCCCUGGAGUAAGCAUAAAAACAAAACAGAUUAAGAGCAUGUAGUGGGCAAUUUAAUUCCACAGAGAUGUUUCCUGUCAUGUAAGUAAAACCAACGAACAAGGAGGUAAGAAUUUGUUUUCUAAUUAAUGAUGUGUGUCCUGGAAAACUUGCUGGGACUUUAUCUCAGCCUCUGAACUGAAAACUAUCUUGAUGAAAUAGUUUGAGAUUAAAAUAGCUCAAUUAUAUUGAUGAUAAACAGGUGGCCUUACUGACAUUUUAACUCAUGAUAGUUCAUCUAGAAGUAAUAGAUGAGAAAAAAUAUCUAAACUGAAUAGCACUCUUCCACAUCUGAGAUCUCUAACUGGUCUUUUGGUGGCUGGGGUUGGGGAGCAUGUGGUCGACAUUGAAUAUGCACAUAGACCAAUGAACAAUCUUGCUAUGAUUAGGCUAAUACAAUUUAAAAAUUGUGUACAUCUUGCAAGUUGCCACUUUUGCUGUGUGAAAUCACGGGUUGCAUUUGCCUGUGUCUAAGGGAAGGCUGUUUAGAUAUGUGCUUAUUUAAGUCACUGAAAUGCAGGAUUAAGAAAGUGAGAUGUGUAUUUGUGAGUGUGUGUGUGUGUACACUAAACUUAUGACUGUGCAGCCUUGCAUAAGCAGUGAGAAAGUCAGCUUCAUCAAUGACCUUGGCAUGACAUUUGCAAAAUUCUGAGCUAACUGCAAUUUUGAAGUGUUGUUUCCUAAAACUAUACAGUUUUCUGCUACUCGGCAGAUGUAUAAAUAAUAAAUAAUUAGAGCAUUAAUCAUUUUGCAAUGAGUUAAUCUAAGGUAAAGAUUGCCUCAUACAUCUAUGGUAAACACAAAAUAACUAUUUGCUGCAUAUGGAUGACUUCCAGUGAAUGUUUUAUGCAAUAUGAAUGUACAAAAUUGUUCUACUUCUUCUCAAGUCUCAGUAUAAUUUGGCUUUUUCUUUACCUGAAGUCCAUUUGGGAAAGGGAAGUUGGAGACUUUUUUUCUCCCUGUCUGAUCUUUCUUAUUUCAAAUUCAUGCUGUUCUCUCUGAUACUCAUUUUGUCUUUCAAACCUGAAGUUUCAUAGGAUAUAUGAGCCCAAAGGAUAGAGAAGUCACAUCAGUGCCUUCGUGUGACAUUGAUGUGAUAUCUCGGAAGCCUGUCUUCUCCCUUUUCCAGACUCAGCUGCUGUUCUCUUGGUGAGCAGAGGGGAGCCUGCAAGCAGUGUAGGCAAAUGCCCUGCUGAGUUGAUUUGCCACAGCAGAAGAUCUCUUUGCAUAGUUUAGUGCUGGAAAUAAAGGAUUUAAGGCAGCAAAACAUGGCUUUAGGUCAAUUUAAAUAAUGCGUGGCAAUGACAGAAACAGUGAGCAGCUGGAGCAUUUGGGGGAAACUGAUAAAUAUAUAGUAUGCAUGUAUUAGUCUGCAAUAGUCAUUACUUUUUCUCACUGUCUGGAUUGAAGAUCAUUGAUUCUGCUCUACCCGGCAGACCCUUCCCACUCCCUCCCAAAGUGUACUGUUCUUAGGAUAAUUGGAAGACUACCCAAAGCAAAAAGAUCAAUGGAAGGACAGUGAUACAAAUGGACAUUAGGAACUAAGGACUUUAUAAAAAUGCUCAAAACGAAUAACUCAAGGGGAAAAGGAUACCUAAAAAUAGUCUUCGGAAUUAUCCACAGUAAUGAUUUCAUGGAAAUUACAAGAAGGGUUAUAUGAUAACAUAUACAGACUAUUGUAUAUGGAUUUUAUCAGACUUAGUGCAGACAAAUAAAUUGCCUUUUAGGUAAACUUUACAUAGAAGGAAUGUCAAUUUUUAAAGAAUGUUCUCUACCUACUUCUCUAGACACAUGUCUCCAUAGAGACAUAAAAAAAUGGCCUUUUAUUUUAAUGAGUUAGCAUUUUAGAAUAUGCAGACAGGAAGUUCUCGAAUAAAAAUUGAGUAUCUGAAAAUCAUUAUGGGUUGUGUGUCAGCUGAAAAUGUAUUUUACUUUCCUGUGGGACUGCUCUCUGCUUUGUCACUUAAAUGAUUUUAGAAGAGGGUAACCUCAAGUUACCUAAAGUAAUUGAAGUAAUUUAUAUUUCAAAGACUAUUUCAUGUCCUUACAAAUGAUAUGGAAAUAUAAAAUAUAAAAACUAAUGAGAAUUGACAUCUAUUCUUCAAAGUUAACUGCUAAAUAUGAUAAUCGUAAGUUACAUAUGUAAUAAUAUCCAUAUAAAAUAAUAGUAAUAACAGUGGAUAUAAUAAAAAAACAUGAAGUGUGUCAAACCAAAAGGGACUUAUCCAUUUGCCGUUUGCACGAAUCUAAAACUCUGGUCCUCGAUUAUGCAAAAAAGCAACCGAUCAUAAUGCUUCUUCUAAUUAUAAUGCAAUAAAAGUUUCCAUCUACAAAAUAGGUAUCUACUUCAAAAAUUGAAAUAAAAUGUAUCAACAAUUCCUAUUUUCUGUGUGUCCAGACACUUUUGAUUGGCAUAUUUUGUUGAAGGAGACAGAUGGCAGGACAAUCCGAGGAAGUAUAGCUCAGCUUUACGGAGAACAUUUUCACCUUGUUCUAGGGAGUUUUGGAUAUAGAGUUCAUACCUUAGUAGGAAAACUUUCACAACCAUAACCAAAAGACAGGCCAUCCUGAACCUUCAUAUCAUUAUUAUCAUUAUGUAUUAAUAAUGAAUUAAUAAUGAAUCUGCCUGGAGGAAGGACUGUUAAACUGUUUCAGAACACGUGACAUAAUCCUCAGACAUUCUCUUUAAAAGAAAUAUUAAAACUGGGUGCCAGCAAGCAGGUGUCUGAGGGAGGGACAGCUACCUAGAAGUUGACUCUCAAAGAGCACAAACUUGAAAGCUAUCUCAAAUCACUAUUUUGGCAUCUGCUGUUAUUGAUGCUAAAUGAAUAAUUCUUUUCUUCACAUGAUUGAAAUCUGAACAGAACACAGGUUCUGAAAACACAAGAUCUUUGUCUAUAAGGAAAGCUAUGAGGAACCAUAUAGAGGCUUAGGGACUAUAAGGAGAGCUAUGCUGCAUUUGGAAAAUAUGAUAUAAAACAAUUAAUUAAAUAUUUACUGUGUAUUCAGUAUAUGCUCAAUGCAGAUGUUGACAAAUUUUUUUUUUUUUUGUAAAGAGACCGUACAGAUUUUGGGCUUUGGGGAGUAUCAAGUCUCUUGCAACUCCUCACUCUGCUGCCUUGUAACUCCUCACUCCACUGCUGUAAUGUGUAAGCAGCCAUAGAAAAUAUUACUUUAGAAAGUGUGCAGCUGUGCUCUAAUAGAGAUUUACAGAAAUCGGUGAUUGUCCAGAUUUGGCCCAGGGGAUAUUUCUUGCAGACCCAUGUGCUGAGAUUUGGGGGUUUUUAGAAGCUAGUUCUGACUGAUCUAUUUAGAGGGGGGUAACUGGAAGAAGUAAAAGCAUCUGAGAAAACAGGUUGGUUAAGAACUAGUUUGAAACACAGGCCCCAGCAAGAACCGAUGACUUUGGCAGACUUCAGUAUUGAUGGUGAAAUGGAAAUGGAGAAUAUCUGAUGGACGUAAGAGCUAUUUAAGUGGUAGAGAGGGACCUCUCAUGGAGGCAGCUAGCUCAAUGCUGGAAAGCACUAAGCCAAGGCAUCAUGCCCUACACUGCCCACAUUAGCAAACAGUAUAGUCAGGAUGGCUAAAGGUGACCCCAAGAAACCAAAGGGUAAGAUGUCUGCUUAUGCUUUCUUUGUGCAGAUGUGCAGAGAAGAACACAAAAAGAAAAACCCAGAGGUCCCUGUCGCUUUAGCAGAAUUUUUCAAGAAGUGCUCUGAGAGGUGAAAGACAGUGUCUGGGAAAGAUAAGUAUAAAUCUGAUAAAAGGCAAAGGCAGAAAACGUAGGUUCUGAUGGUGAAAUGAACGACCAUGACUAGCUCAGGAAGGCAAGAAGGCCCCUAAUGGCCCAAAAAGGUCGCCAUCUGAAUUGUUUCCGUUCCGUUCAGAAGUCCACUUCAAGGUCAAAUCUGCAAAUCCUGGCAUCCAUGGCAAAAAGCUAGGUGAGAUGUGGAAUAACUUAAGUGACAGAAAAAAGCAGCCUGACAUCACUAAGGUGGAGAAGCUGAAAGAGAAGGAUGAGAAGAAUGUUGCUGAUAGUAAGUGUAAAGGAGAGUUUGAUGGCUCAAAACACCCCGCUAAAGUUGCCUGGAAAAAGGUGGAAGAGGAAGAUGAAGAAGAUGCAGAGGACAAAGAGGAAGUGGAGGAGGAGGAUUAAAAAAAAAACAACAACAGUUUUAGCUGUCUCUUUGUGAAUACCUUAGAGGAGGGGAGUGCUGUAACUGACAUAUCUAUUUGAGAAGUGUCUAUUGCCCUCACAAGGCUUAAUGACAAAAUCUGAUCAGAAUCAUAUUGUAGUUUUCAAAGUGGUCUAGAAAUUGUCAGUGGUUUAUGUCAAGUGGCCGUGGGUGUCUGGAGCAUCCUGAAACUGUAUCAAAAUUAUAUGUAUUUCCAAACAUUUUUAAAAAUAAAAAGGCAAUCUUGUGUUUUC